CCUACGGGUUGCACCAGUGGGGAAUAUUGCACAAUGGGCGCAAGCCUGAUGCAGCCAUGCCGCGUGUAUGAAGAAGGCCUUCGGGUUGUAAAGUACUUUCAGCGGGGAGGAAGGCGAUAAGGUUAAUAACCUUGUCGAUUGACGUUACUCGCAGAAGAAGCACCGGCUAGCUCCGUGCCAGCAGCCGCGGUAAUACGGAGGGUGCAAGCGUUAAUCGGAAUUACUGGGCGUAAAGCGCACGCAGGCGGUUUGUUAAGUCGGAUGUGAAAUCCCCGGGCUCAACCUGGGAACUGCAUUCGAAACUGGCAAGCUUGAGUCUUGUAGAGGGGGUAGAAUUCCAGGUGUAGCGGUGAAAUGCGUAGAGAUCUGGAGGAAUACCGGUGGCGAAGGCGGCCCCCUGGACAAAGACUGACGCUCAGGUGCGAAAGCGUGGGGAGCAAACAGGAUUAGAUACCCCAGUAGUC
rnacentral:rRNA from 1 species